rnacentral:rRNA from 1 species
CGUAGGGUGCGAGCGUUAAUCGGAAUUACUGGGCGUAAAGCGUGCGCAGGCGGUUUUGUAAGACAGAUGUGAAAUCCCCGGGCUCAACCUGGGACCUGCAUUUGUGACUGCAAGGCUAGAGUACGGUAGAGGGGGAUGGAAUUCCGCGUGUAGCAGUGAAAUGCGUAGAUAUGCGGAGGAACACCGACGGCGAAGGCAAUCCCCUGGACCUGUACUGACGCUCAUGCACGAAAGCGUGGGGAGCAAACAGGAUUAGAUACCCUGGUAGUCCACGCCCUAAACGAUGUCAACUGGUUGUUGGGUCUUUACUGACUCAGUAACGAAGCUAACGCGUGAAGUUGACCGCCUGGGGAGUACGGCCGCAAAGUUG